UACGUAAGGGGCAAGCGUUGUCCGGAAUCAUUGGGCGUAAAGAGCGUGUAGGCGGCUCGAUAAGUCCGCUGUGAAAGUCCAGGGCUCAACCCUGGAAGGCCGGUGGAAACUGUCGGGCUAGAGUCCGGAAGAGGCGAGUGGAAUUCCCGGUGUAGCGGUGAAAUGCGCAGAUAUCGGGAGGAACACCAAUGGCGAAGGCAGCUCGCUGGGACGGUACUGACGCUGAGACGCGAAAGCGUGGGGAGCAAACAGG
rnacentral:rRNA from 1 species